GAGACCAAAACCAAGGCGUACUCCAAGGAGGGGCUGGGGCUGGCACAGAAGGUGGACCCGGCCCAGAAGGAGAAGGAGGAGGUCGGGCAGUGGCUGACGAACACCAUCGACACGCUGAACAUGCAGGUGGAUCAGUUUGAGAGCGAGGUGGAGUCGCUGUCGGUGCAGACCCG